GGCGGGAAUAAAAACGCAUGAAAUCAUUUAAAUGUAUACUCUCUUUUUAUGCUGCAAUUCAGAUAUUAAGGUCGGCAGUUCAAUAAACCAACAAAUUAAAUCAAAGAGCAGAAUGCUCUGAGGGAUACGAUUGCCAUAGUUUUCAUUGACACAUGUAUAGCAGUUCUGCCAACUUUUAAAUAAGCAAAUGCGUGAGAUUUGGCCAAAAUUGAAAAGAUCAAAGAGGGAAAAAAU
rnacentral:lncRNA from 1 species